rnacentral:rRNA from 1 species
UACGAAGGGGGCUAGCGUUGCUCGGAAUUACUGGGCGUAAAGGGUGCGCAGGCGGCCGAGUGUGUGAGGCGUGAAAGCCCGGGGCUUAACCCCGGAAUUGCACCUCAAACUACACGGCUAGAGCAUUGGAGAGGGUAGCAGAAUUCAUGGUGUAGCAGUGAAAUGCGUAGAUAUCAUGAGGAAUACCAGAGGCGAAGGCGGCUACCUGGACAAUUGCUGACGCUCAGGCACGAAAGCGUGGGGAGCAAAAGGG